GGUGAAAGGAAAACAUAGAGACAAAUUUCAUGUGGAAGAGAUGACACGUCAGCAUUUUAGUUUAUUGGCCAUUGAUGAUACGAUGAACACAAAGCUCUAGCCCUGGAUUUACAGCAGCAUGUUGUGCUGCUGAUUGCCCACAAAAGCCAUCAUAAAACAGCUCUGAGAAGCUUCUCCUGUGAAAGAAGUGAUGUGUUUGCAAUUCGAAAGUUAAGUGAGCUGCUAAGAACCAUAAGAAACGAGAGGAAAGAGUAGUAUUGAAAUGCAGCGUCUUUGGAAGGAAUGGCAGGAGACCUGGGUCGUAAUUCUAGCACUGGCUGAUGUCAAUAAUCAGGUUUCCCCAGCUGGCACAUUGGUCAUCAUGGAGCAGUCAGCAGCUCCUCCUGUCAGGAGCCCAUGGAGCCCAGAGAAACUGUCCUGGCUGUUUCUCUGCAGAACUGGGAUUCCAAUGCACUGCCAGCUUCUGGCACUGCCAUUCAGGGCUUUCCACACAUCGAGUUGUUGUGACAUCCUUGCGCCUCCACGGACUCCUUUGUGCGGCUGUCCAGCUCCCGUGGCACUGUUUCACACGCUGACCUGCUGGGAAGGGGCACUUUGUGAUUAUUGUCAGCGGUGGGAAAGGGUUGUGUCUGUGACUAGAUGA
rnacentral:lncRNA from 1 species